rnacentral:tRNA from 1 species
GAAGGUAUAGCUCAGUGGUAGAGUGCCUGCUUAGCAUGCACAAGGUCCUGGGUUCAAUCCUAGAGUCUCCA